AGAGUUUGAUCCUGGCUCAGAUUGAACGCUGGCGGCAUGCCUAACACAUGCAAGUCGAACGGAAACGAUGCUAGCUUGCUAGCAGGCGUCGAGUGGCGGACGGGUGAGUAAUGUAUAGGGAUCUGCCUAGUAGUGGGGGACAACAUGUGGAAACGCAUGCCAAUACCGCAUACGCUCUACGGAGGAAAGUGGGGGACCUUUCGGGGCCUCAUGCUACUAGAUGAACCUAUAUUGGAUUAGCUUGUUGGUAAGGUAAUGGCUUACCAAGGCGACGAUCCAUAGCUGGUUUGAGAGAAUGAUCAGCCACACUGGGACUGAGACACGGCCCAGACUCCUACGGGAGGCAGCAGUGGGGAAUAUUGCACAAUGGAGGAAACUCUGAUGCAGCAAUGCCGCGUGUGUGAAGAAGGCCUUAGGGUUGUAAAGCACUUUCAGACGUGAGGAAAAGUAAUAGUUUAAUAAAUUAUUGCCUUGACGUUAACGUCAGAGGAAGGACCGGCUAACUCCGUGCCAGCAGCCGCGGUAAUACGGAGGGUCCAAGCGUUAAUCGGAAUUACUGGGCGUAAAGCGCGCGUAGGCGGAUAUUUAAGUCAGAUGUGAAAUCCCUGGGCUCAACCUAGGAACUGCAUUUGAUACUGGAUAUCUAGAGUAUGGUAGAGGUGAGUGGAAUUUCAGGUGUAGCGGUGAAAUGCGUAGAGAUCUGAAGGAACAUCAGUGGCGAAGGCGACUCACUGGGCCAUUACUGACGCUGAGGUGCGAAAGCGUGGGUAGCAAACAGGAUUAGAUACCCUGGUAGUCCACGCCCUAAACGAUGUCAACUAGGUGUAUGGGAGUUUAACUCCUGUGUAUCGAAGCUAACGCGAUAAGUUGACCGCCUGGGGAGUACGGUCGCAAGACUAAAACUCAAAUGAAUUGACGGGGGCCCGCACAAGCGGUGGAGCAUGUGGUUUAAUUCGAUGC
rnacentral:rRNA from 1 species